rnacentral:tRNA from 1 species
GGCGCUUUAGCUCAGUCGGUAGAGCAAGGGACUGAAAAUCCCUGUGUCCCCAGUUCGAUUCUGGGAGGCGCCACCA